GAGAUACACCUGUUCCCAUGUCGAACACAGAAGUUAAGUCCUAUUACGCCGGAAGUAGUUGGGGGUUGCCCCCUGCGAGAUAGGGUAAAUGCCAAGU
rnacentral:rRNA from 1 species